GCAGUGGGUGUCUCUUAAGGCUGAAGGAGGAGUGGGAGGUACUUGCUGUGAGGCAUGGUGAGGUGGAGGGCUCGGAAACGGAGGUGGCCGUGGCUAUUGCUGUUAGUUGUGCUUGCUUGUCAGGCUUUGUGUGUGUAUGUGGGGAUUUGCACGUCACCUGUUGUCUGGGGCUCCCCUUGUUGUGUGUCACCUGUGUUCGUGAAGCACACUUACAGAUUGUUGAGGCUAACUUGACUCCUUCAUUGCAGACGCCUUAAGGAGCACGCAUGACGCUUUAAAGCGGAGGGCGGUUCGGGAAGAGGUGACGCGUGCCCUGACACAGAGGGUGUCUGGACGGCCUCCUUCCUGCCGUGCCCAAGAGCUCGCCCGCCGGCGAGCGCCCGCCGCUGGACCCGCCAUUCGUGUAGACGUGCGGUCCCUCCCGGCCGGGUCGCGGCCCGCACGCGCGGACCGACGGGUGGACGUUGUUGCAGGCGCAUCAACAGGUCAGGCGACACAAGCAGCCUUGACUUGCCUGGUGGGUGGAAGAGCCGCAGCAGUACAGGUCCACUGGCUUAUUGAAGGUGGAGACCAACUCAGGCAGCCUGUGAACCCCCCUGUGACCUGUGACCCCCCGUGACCUGCAAGACACAGCCACUCCAGGACAGGAUGACUCAGCAGCAUGUGACCACCUAACAACAACAACAACAACAACAGACUUUCCUUGUUUAUUUGGUGAGAGAGAGAGAGAGAGAGAGAUGCAAUAUUUUAAGCCUUCCAUCAGUUCACCUCCCAGCUUCUACUACUACUUCUACUACUACUAUUACUACUACUACUACUAGUACUACUGCUACUGCUACUGCUACUGCUACAACUUCUCCGCACAGUAUCACCACCCUACACGUCCCAUUCCAAAGCAAAUGGCCAUAUUUGGGGACAGAGCGCAGCAACAUCCACUUCGUUAAAAUUGUGACUGCAAUUAAAUGGAUACUGCAUGAACUGGAAUAAGGCUAUUGAACUGUCAUUGUCUUGGCACCACGAGGGAGAGCAGGGUAUGUGCUGUCAUAUGGACUGGUCACUCACAACUUGGACACUGAAACAAGCCUCUCCCAGACCCCCCCCCC